AACGAACGCUGGCGGCAUGCCUAACACAUGCAAGUCGAACGAGACCUUCGGGUCUAGUGGCGCACGGGUGCGUAAAGCGUGGGAACCUGCCCUUAGGUUCGGAAUAACUCCCCGAAAGGGGUGCUAAUACCGGAUAAUGUCUUCGGACCAAAGAUUUAUCGCCUUUGGAUGGGCCCGCGUUGGAUUAGCUAGUUGGUAGGGUAAAAGCCUACCAAGGCGACGAUCCAUAGCUGGUCUGAGAGGAUGAUCAGCCACACUGGGACUGAGACACGGCCCAGACUCCUACGGGAAGCAGCAGUGGGGAAUAUUGGACAAUGGGCGAAAGCCUGAUCCAGCAAUGCCGCGUGAGUGAUGAAGGCCUUAGGGUUGUAAAGCUCUUUUACCCGGGAUGAUAAUGACAGUACCGGGAGAAUAAGCUCCGGCUAACUCCGUG
rnacentral:rRNA from 1 species